rnacentral:rRNA from 1 species
GACGAACGCUGGCGGCGUGCCUAAUACAUGCAAGUCGAGCGGACCUCUUCGGAGGUCAGCGGCGGACGGGUGAGUAACACGUGGGCAACCUGCCUGUAAGACUGGGAUAACACCGGGAAACCGGUGCUAAUACCGGAUAAUCCUUUUCCUCACAUGAGGGGAAGCUGAAAGACGGUUUCGGCUGUCACUUACAGAUGGGCCCGCGGCGCAUUAGCUAGUUGGUGGGGUAACGGCCCACCAAGGCGACGAUGCGUAGCCGACCUGAGAGGGUGAUCGGCCACACUGGGACUGAGACACGGCCCAGACUCCUACGGGAGGCAGCAGUAGGGAAUCUUCCGCAAUGGACGAAAGUCUGACGGAGCAACGCCGCGUGAGCGAAGAAGGCCUUCGGGUCGUAAAGCUCUGUUGUCAGGGAAGAACACGUACCGGAGUAACUGCCGGUACCUUGACGGUACCUGACCAGAAAGCCACGGCUAACUACGUGCCAGCCGCCGCCGUAACAC